GACGAACGCUGGCGGCGUGCCUAAUACAUGCAAGUCGAACGCUUCUUUCCUCCCGAGUGCUUGCACUCAAUUGGAAAGAGGAGUGGCGGACGGGUGAGUAACACGUGGGUAACCUACCCAUCAGAGGGGGAUAACACUUGGAAACAGGUGCUAAUACCGCAUAACAGUUUAUGCCGCAUGGCAUAAGAGUGAAAGGCGCUUUCGGGUGUCGUCGAUGGAUGGACCCGCGGUGCAUUAGCUAGUUGGUGAGGUAACGGCUCACCAAGGCCACGAUGCAUAGCCGACCUGAGAGGGUGAUCGGCCACACUGGAACUGAGACACGGCCCAGACUCCUACGGGAGGCAGCAGUAGGGAAUCUUCGGCAAUGGACGAAAGCCUGACCGAGCAACGCCGCGUGAGUGAAGAAGGUUUUCGGAUCGUAAAACUCUGUUGUUAGAGAAGAACAAGGACGUUAGUAACUGAACGUCCCCUGACGGUAUCUAACCAGAAAGCCACGGCUAACUACGUG
rnacentral:rRNA from 1 species